rnacentral:rRNA from 1 species
CGUGUAGGCGGUUAUGUAAGUCAGAUGUGAAAGUCUUCCGCUUAACGGAAGAAGUGCAUUUGAAACUACAUGACUGGAGUACGGGAGAGGAGAGUGGAAUUCCCGGUGUAGAGGUGAAAUUCGUAGAUAUCGGGAGGAACACCAGUGGCGAAGGCGGCUCUCUGGCCUGAUACUGACGCUGAGACGCGAAAGCGUGGGGAGCAAACAGGAUUGGAUACCCUGGUAGUCCACGCCGUAAACGAUGGGCACUAGGUGUAGGAGGUAUUGACCCCUUCUGUGCCGAAGCUAACGCAUUAACGUGCCCCGCCUGGGGAGUACGGCCGCAAGGUUAAA